CCCCGAGGCCCUCAUGCCCAGUGAGCUC
rnacentral:sRNA from 1 species